GCCACUCCUGCGGGCUCUGUCAGCCUCCGCCCACUGGGCCACCGGCAUCCUAGCAAGGAACCUAGCUGGGGCGCGCAGUGCAGUCGCUGAUGUGGCAUUGCGUGGCGGCGGGGUCUGAGGAGGAGCAGAGGAGAGGUCGCUAGAACUCGGAACUUGCCCCUGCCCUCACCCCUUUGACAGCAGGCCUUGCCUGGUGAGACCUGCAGACUUGCAUCAAGUACGUUUUGAUUCUGUGGAAGUGGUUGAAGGAUCACCGGAAAUGCGGUGGGGAACAGAGGAGAUCUGCAAUCAGUAGCCACUGGAAUGCGGAUUUUGACAGAAACUUGAUCUCUUUGGAAUAAGAAGUCGAGAGCUGCACUCAAUGGGCUGAACACCAGGCUUUGUGGCAGGCCUCUUUUACCUGCAUUACGUGGAAUUCCUGCACCCAAAUUAUGACAUAGAUAUCAUCUCCAUUGUCAGAUAAGACCAAGACCCACACCCUAUCCCAGCAUGCCACAGAUGCCUCCAGACAGUGUAUGUUGUAUUACUUCACUAAGAGUCCAUAAACUGGUGUGUCACUUGUCAUCAAUGUGCGGGUGAGAAUUUCUGGUGAAUGCCUCUUUCUUCUAAUGUCUAUAAAGUUUUUACGACAAAGAU